GAUGAACGCUGGCGGCGUGCUUAACACAUGCAAGUCGAACGGAAAGGCUCCUGCUUGCAGGGGUACUCGAGUGGCGAACGGGUGAGUAACACGUGGGUGAUCUGCCCUGCACUUCGGGAUAAGCCUGGGAAACUGGGUCUAAUACCGGAUAGGACGAUGGUUUGGAUGCCAUUGUGGAAAGUUUUUUCGGUGUGGGAUGAGCUCGCGGCCUAUCAGCUUGUUGGUGGGGUAAUGGCCUACCAAGGCGUCGACGGGUAGCCGGCCUGAGAGGGUGUACGGCCACAAUGGGACUGAGAUACGGCCCAGACGCGUACGGGAGGCAGCAGUGGGGAAUAUUGCACAAUGGGCGCAAGCCUGAUGCAGCGACGCCGCGUGGGGGAUGACGGCCUUCGGGUUGUAAACUCCUUUCGCUAGGGACGAAGCGCAAGUGACGGUACCUGGAGAAGAAGCACCGGCUAACUACGUG
rnacentral:rRNA from 1 species